AAAAUUAUUGAAAGUGGAGAACAAUAACGUGUAUUCAUUGUUUUGGAAUAUCCAACCAACAUUUAAUGUUCUUGAUUUUUCCAUUCCUUCUUCAUCAGAAAGCCUUUCUUCUAAACAAAAAUUUUCUUCUACACCAACAUUGGUUCUUUACUCAAAUCUAGCUCAAAUACUUCAUCUUCAUCUGCGAUUUUCGUUUAUCCAUAUUUUCAGAAUUUUUCAAUGUGUCACGAGGAUAAUAAAAAUGUAUGUAGAUUCAAUGUGUCACUCUAGAUUGCAGAUUCAAGUUUGUUGUUCUAAAAAAAAGAAUAAUAAAAAAAUGGUGAAUAUAUUACAUUUAGAGAAGAGUUUCCAGAUUGAAGAGAAUAGCUUUGGUCUCUUUGAGAAAUAAAGUGAUCAAUAAUGCUGUAGUAGAUUUGAUAUCUCUUUGAGAAAUAAAGUGAUCAGCAAUAUUGUAAUAGAUUUGGUGUUUGAGAGAAAGUGAUAAAUAUGAUCACUUUGAGUUGGUUAAUAAGAUCAAUAAAGUAAUUUUUUUUUUU